ensembl:lncRNA
CCGACCUUGGAGGAAGCUCGAGGCAAGACAGGGUCUCACUAUGUAGCCCAGGCUGGCCUUGAACUUGCAGCAGUUCUCCUGCCUCAGCUUCUCAAGUGCUGGAAUUACAGGUGUGCCCCAUCACGCCUGGCUUAACUACAGUUUUUUUUUAAAGCCAAUGUUAGAAAGAGGAGGCCCGUUUGCCUUGGCAGGGAAGCUACCGCUGAUCCUGGAGCAGUCCCUCACCUGGUCCACUUUGUCACCUCCGCCGCCGCCGGCACCUGGAGCAUGCACUGGUGUGAGCAGUGGCCUCGUCUUCCACUGGCUGUGCCUUGAGGGGGCCGCUGGGCCUGUGCAGCAGAGCCGCUGUGACCGUGGUGCCGAUACCUGGAUGUUUGCUCAGCGAGUUGGAAGAAGGUAGAAUAAUAUCGUUUGGUCUUUUUGCAUUUGCAAACGAAGCUGCUGGUCACAGAGCCCCAACUUUCUGCCUCUUCCUUGGCUUCCUGUGUAUCAGCACAAGUGACACAACCUACCUUUUGUCACUGCAGCUCAGGGGACCUUUCGCCUGGC